rnacentral:rRNA from 1 species
UGGGGAAUUUUGGACAAUGGGGGCAACCCUGAUCCAGCAAUGCCGCGUGUGUGAAGAAGGCCUUCGGGUUGUAAAGCACUUUUGUCCGGGAAGAAAUCCCCUGCCCUAAUACGGCGGGGGGAUGACGGUACCGGAAGAAUAAGCACCGGCUAACUACGUGCCAGCAGCCGCGGUAAUACGUAGGGUGCGAGCGUUAAUCGGAAUUACUGGGCGUAAAGCGUGCGCAGGCGGUGAUGUAAGACCGAUGUGAAAUCCCCGGGCUCAACCUGGGAACUGCAUUGGUGACUGCAUUGCUCGAGUAUGGCAGAGGGGGGUGGAAUUCCACGUGUAGCAGUGAAAUGCGUAGAGAUGUGGAGGAACACCGAUGGCGAAGGCAGCCCCCUGGGCCAAUACUGACGCUCAUGCACGAAAGCGUGGGGAGCAAACAGGAUUAGAUACCCUGGUAGUCCACGCCCUAAACGAUGUCAACUGGUUGUCGGGCCUUCAUUGGCUUGGUAACGUAGCUAACGCGUGAAGUUGACCGCCUGGGGAGUACGGUCGCAAGAUUAAACUCAAAUGAAUUGACGGGGUCAUAGCUGUUUCCU